ACUCUGUCUAUUACACCAUUUUUUAAUUCUAGUUCAUGGUUUCUUCUCUCCCGAGUAUUUCAGUACUGCUUGCAUGUAUAUCAUAGUUCAUCUCAUCUAUUGGCAUAGAAAAUUUGUAACGUGGCUUACAAUCCAACGUGGUCAUUGAGGUUUCUUGCUGUGGUGAGGGAGUAAUGGACUAUGGGCAGAGGAAUGGAAAAAAUUUCAGGGUUGGAUAGAAACACAACAUUGAGUUUCGGAGUGGAUAAAUGUGCUUUCUAUCAAAAACUUUUGUAAUUGUCUCUUUACUUAAUCACAUUUAAUCGAGAAGUUCUUUUUUUUUUUUUUUUUCUUCUAGUAAUUCUUGGCUGUGGAAGGAUAUUUAAUCCUAAUCCUCCCUGCCCUUUAUUUACUCUCAGCACCGCUAUGUAUUUCUUCUAUUCAAAGAAUAUAUACAAGAUCUCAUUUUAAAUGAAAAAAGUACUGAAUCACUUCGUCAAGAACGUA